CUACGGGGGGCUGCAGUGGGGAAUUUUGGACAAUGGGCGCAAGCCUGAUCCAGCCAUUCCGCGUGAGUGAAGAAGGCCUUCGGGUUGUAAAGCUCUUUCGCAAGGGAAGAAAACUUAUCCUCUAACAUAGGAUGAGGUUGACGGUACCUUGAUAAGAAGCACCGGCUAACUACGUGCCAGCAGCCGCGGUAAUACGUAGGGGGCGAUCGUUAGUCUGAAUUACUGGGCGUAAAGUGUGUAAGUCAGGUUUGAAAUCCCCGAGCUCAACUUGGGAACUGCGUUUGAAACUACAAGACUAGAAUAGGUCAGAGGGGGGUAGAAUUCCACGUGUAGCAGUGAAAUGCGUAGAGAUGUGGAGGAAUAUCAAUGGCGAAGGCAGCCCCCUGGGAUCAUAUUGACGCUCAUGCACGAAAGCGUGGGGAGCAAACAGGAUUAGAUACCCGUGUAGUC
rnacentral:rRNA from 1 species